rnacentral:rRNA from 1 species
UACGUAGGUGGCGAGCGUUAUCCGGAAUGAUUGGGCGUAAAGGGUGCGUAGGCGGCCUGCUAAGUCUGGAGUGAAAGGUACCGGCUCAACCGGUACAGGCUCUGGAAACUGGCGGGCUAGAGAGCAGGAGAGGGCGGUGGAACUCCAUGUGUAGCGGUAAAAUGCGUAGAUAUAUGGAGGAACACCGGUGGCAAAAGCGGCUCUCUGGCCUGUAACUGACACUGAGGCUCGAAAGCGUGGGGAGCAAACAGG